rnacentral:tRNA from 1 species
AUAUGAAGGAAAAAUUUCCAUUUAAUUUCGACUUAAAAAUUUGAUUAUUAAAUUUAAUCCAUAUU